rnacentral:lncRNA from 1 species
UUAGACAAUGAGCAGAGAGGACCUGGGUUUCCAGGGCAACAGGGAGGGAGAACCACAGGGCACAGGGGAGCUGAGAGAUGAGGGGAGAUGUAAUGGUGAUGGAAGAACUGGAAGGAGGAAAACUAAAAUUAAAAAAUGAUUUGGCUCCACUGAAUGGGCUGCUAUUGCUGAAAAGCAACACAAAUUCUACACGGAGGCAAGCCUUCUGCAGGAGUAACCUGUUCCCCUUGGGGCACCAGGUAGGACCCAUGCAGGAGACACCAAAAACUCCUUCUCCUGUGAAGGUGGAUUUGGGGUGGGUGGUUUUUCUCCAGAGCAGCAUUUACUCGCUGUCAGCAUAUGAAGUGUCCCUCUGCAUCUCCACCGAUGUAAGAGCAGCCCUGCAUCUUGGUCCAGAAUCCAAGAAGCAGAACAGCACGUAGUGAAUAUGGAGCGCCGGGCACCCUGCGGUGAGAAAGUACAGUACGAGGGAGAGAAAGGUCUGGAAGUUGCGCUUUUGAUGAAGCCAGAGGAGUUUCGCCGGCUAGCAGAGCCCCUCUCUGGAAACACAUUUUAUGCAGAGAGCGUAGGAAACCCACAUUCAGCAGAGAACGAUCAUAAACAGCGAGGCGUAAAAUAACAGGUAGAACUGGAUGUCUGGGCUUAUGUAAUAUUUUAUGUAAUGGAACAUCUAGGAGUCCACAAUUCAAGCAACCCCAGCUCCCCACAGGCUGAACUCCCGCUGUGUAAUCUUUCACAAAAGCAAAUCCUGCCUGCAGCCCACCCCCAGGCUCCCAGCAACCUGGGAUCCCUGUUUCCAAGCCGUGUUAAAGACCUUGAGUCCCAGCGGUCAGGGGAGGAGGUAGGUUGUAACUAUAGUAGAAGCAGCGAUUUCUCCGCCCUCUCUUUCCUUAUUGCCUUGCACAAUACGGUGUUUUCCUGAUUCUCUAUGUCUUUGACAGCUACAUAUCAAGAGUCCCUUGUGCACAGAGCCGACUUUUCUGAACACCGAAAACUGCUUCAUACACACCCGCUCCCACCAAAAGGACAAGGCCAAUUCUUCUGAUAAAUUUGUAGACUUGUUACCAUAGAGACAGGCCCUGGGUACUCCAAGGCUGGAUCAGCAGUACCAUCUAGUGGGGCAUUAGAUACGCUGCAGCCCCCCGACUACACAAUGUUGGAUGAGAAAGGAUUUUUUUCUUUUUUCCUUUUUUUUUCUUUUUCUUUUUAGCUAUCUGCUAUUCUCCUUCAAGACUUCUAGUGAUCUGUUCACCAAUAUCUACUUAAACUGAGUGGUUUUUUUCUUCCAGUUUCAUUGAGCUAUAACAAUAUUUGUACAGCAUUGUGUAAAUUCAAGAUGUUGACUUACCGACAUCAUGAAAUGAUCACCACAGUAAGUUUAGUGACCAUCCAUCAUCUUACAUAUGUUCAAAAUAAGAGAAA